GGGGAUUUAGCUCAGUGGUAGAGCGCUUGCCUAGCAAGCACAAGGCCAUGGGUUCAGUCCUCA
rnacentral:tRNA from 1 species